rnacentral:sRNA from 1 species
GCCAGGCAUGGUGUUGCAUGUCUGUAAUCCCAGCAACUUGGGAGGCUAAGGCAGAAGAAUUCCAAGUUCAAGGCCAGCCUCAACAACUUAGCAAAACUCUCAAUAACUUAGCAAGACCCUGUCUCUC